GCUUCUGGGCAGCGGCCGGUCUAAGUUCCUUGGAACAGGACGUCAUAGAGGGUGAGAAUCCCGUAUGCGACCGGCUUGCACCCGUCACGUAGCUCCUUCGACGAGUCGAGUUGUUUGGGAAUGCAGCUCUAAAUGGGAGGUAAAUUUCUUCUAAGGCUAAAUACCGGCCAGAGACCGAUAGCGCACAAGUAGAGUGAUCGAAAGAUGAAAAGCACUUUGGAAAGAGAGUUAAAAAGCACGUGAAAUUGUUGAAAGGGAAGCUCACGCAACCAGACUUGUCGGCGGUGUUCCGCCGGUCUUCUGACCGGUCUACUCGCCGCCGGCAGGCCAGCAUCACUUGGGAGCGCCGGAUAAAGGCGUGCGGAAUGUAGCCCCUCGGGGCAUUAUAGCCGCGCGCACAAUACGGCGCCUCCCGAGUGAGGUCCGCGCUUUGGCUAGGAUGCUGGCGUAAUGGUUGCUUGAGGCCCGUCUUGAAACACGGACCAAGGAGUCUAACAUCUAUGCGAGUGUUCGGGUGUCAAACCCCUACGCGGAAUGAAAGUGAACGGAGGUGGGAACCGCAAGGUGCACCAUCGACCGAUCCUGAUGUCUUCGGAUGGAUUUGAGUAAGAGCAUA
rnacentral:rRNA from 1 species